GUGGCAGCCGCCGCGGUAAUACGGAGGGUGCAAGCGUUAUCCGGAUUCAUUGGGUUUAAAGGGUGCGCAGGCGGAUACUUAAGUCAGUGGUGAAAUCCCGGGGCUCAACCCUGGAACUGCCAUUGAUACUGAAUAUCUGGAAUACGGUUGAAGUGGGCGGAAUGUAGCAUGUAGCGGUGAAAUGCAUAGAGAUGCUACAGAACACCGAUCGCGAAGGCAGCUCACUAAGCCGAUAUUGACGCUCAGGCACGAAAGCGUGGGGAGCGAACAGGAUUAGAUACCCUGGUAGUCCACGCCGUAAACGAUGAUAACUCGUUGUUGGCGACACACAGUCAGCGACUAAGCGAAAGCGAUAAGUUAUCCACCUGGGGAGUACGAUCGCAAGGUUGAAACUUAAAGGAAUUGACGG
rnacentral:rRNA from 1 species